rnacentral:tRNA from 1 species
UAUAUUUUAGUAUAUGAUGUAUAAAAGCUUUUGAGGCUUAAGGGAGUAGUUUGAUUCUAUUAAAUAUAA